rnacentral:rRNA from 1 species
GAUGAACGCUGGCGGCGUGCCUAAUACAUGCAAGUCGAGCGAACGGACGAGAAGCUUGCUUCUCUGAUGUUAGCGGCGGACGGGUGAGUAACACGUGGAUAACCUACCUAUAAGACUGGGAUAACUUCGGGAAACCGGAGCUAAUACCGGAUAAUAUUUUGAACCGCAUGGUUCAAAAGUGAAAGACGGUCUUGCUGUCACUUAUAGAUGGAUCCGCGCUGCAUUAGCUAGUUGGUAAGGUAACGGCUUACCAAGGCAACGAUGCAUAGCCGACCUGAGAGGGUGAACGGCCACACUGGAACUGAGACACGGUCCAGACUCCUACGGGAGGCAGCAGUAGGGAAUCUUCCGCAAUGGGCGAAAGCCUGACGGAGCAACGCCGCGUGAGUGAUGAAGGUCUUCGGAUCGUAAAACUCUGUUAUUAGGGAAGAACAUAUGUGUAAGUAACUGUGCUCAUCUUGACGGUACCUAAUCAGAAAGCCACGGCUAACUACGUG